GUAAACACCUCAAAGCUUUUGGAUUUUUUAAUCGAAAAGCUUUGGACUUGAGCAAUCCCAACACCAAUCUUUUUGAGAUCGGUGGCGGGUUGCUUGAAAUGCAGGUGCAGCUGGACAUUCUCCUGAGCUAAAAGCAUAUUCAUUUAGUCCCGUCAAACGGAUUAUUACUUUUGCUGCAGCUAACAUAUAGGGAGUUUGACCGUAUUGGCUGACUGAUGCAGGAUUUCACAAGGGUCGGCAACGAUUCUUGUUAA
rnacentral:misc_RNA from 1 species